rfam:Camelus ferus unplaced genomic scaffold scaffold64113, whole genome shotgun sequence.
GAGGGUAUAGCUCAGUGGUAGAGUGCAUGCUUAGCAUGCAUGAGGUCCUGGGUUCAAUCCCCAGUACCUCUA